GAUGAACGCUGGCGGCGUGCCUAAUACAUGCAAGUAGAACGCUGAAGGAAGGAGCUUGCUCUUUCCGGAUGAGUUGCUAACGGGUGAGUAACGCGUAGGUAACCUGCCUGGUAGCGGGGGAUAACUAUUGGAAACGAUAGCUAAUACCGCAUAACAGUAGAUGUUGCAUGAUAUCUACUUAAAAGGUGCAAUUGCACCACUACCAGAUGGACCUGCGUUGUAUUAGCUAGUUGGUGAGGUAACGGCUCACCAAGGCGACGAUACAUAGCCGACCUGAGAGGGUGAUCGGCCACACUGGGACUGAGACACGGCCCAGCCUCCUACGGGAGGCAGCAGUAGGGAAUCUUCGGCAAUGGACGGAAGUCUGACCGAGCAACGCCGCGUGAGUGAAGAAGGUUUUCGGAUCGUAAAGAUCUGUUGUAAGAGAAGAACGAGUGUGAGAGUGGAAAGUUCACACUGUGACGGUAUCUUACCAGAAAGGGACGGCUAACUACGUG
rnacentral:rRNA from 1 species